rnacentral:tRNA from 1 species
GCCUGGGUGGCUCAAUCAGUUGAGCAUCUGACUUUGGCUCAGGUCAUGAUCUCGCGGUUCAUGGGUUCGGGCCCCGUAUCGGGCU